UAAAGAACUAACCAGGAUGCCCCUAGUAAUGGCGAAUGAAGCGGGCGUAGCUCACGCUGCCAAUCUGGAGGCCGACUCUUGCGUGUCUCCCGAAUUGUGGUCUAGGAAGGCGCCAUCGGCCGCGCGCGUCGCCGAAAUCCCUUGGAAGAGGGUAUCGGAGAAGGUGAGAAUCCUGUGCCGUGGCGCGUCGCGGCCUCACGAUGCGUCCUUGUCGAGUCGGGUUGCUUGGGAUUGCAGCUUGAAGUGGGUGGUAAAUUCCAUCUAAAGCUAAAUAGUGGCGAGAGACCGAUAGCGAACAAGUACCGUGAGGGAAAGAUGCAAAGAACUUUGAAAAGAGAGUCAAAGAGUGCUUGAAAUUGGCAGGAGGAAACCCGGUUGCGCCCGGCGUCGGCGCGUCGACUCAGCCGUGCUCGCGCUUGUCCUGUGCGGACCGCAAGGCCGCUUUGGGUUGGUUUGUGUGCGGUGCACUUCGACGCGUCGGGUCAGCUUUCGCUGCGCGUUGCGAGAGAUGCCGUUGGGUGAGGCCUUGGCGAUCCCAUUCGGAGCGUCGCGAGUGCGGCGUGUUUGAGCUGACGGAACGGGCGCCACCGACCCGUCUUGAAAAGG
rnacentral:rRNA from 1 species